rnacentral:misc_RNA from 1 species
AACGCACAUUGCGCCUACUGGUAUUCCGGUAGGCAUGUCUGUUUGAGCGUCAGCAAACACCCUCAGCGGCGGAUUUGUUUCUGCCUGCUGGUCUUGGGCGUGGAUGUCAGGCCGUGCUCCGGUGCGGCCGCCGCCUGCCCUAAAAUUGCUGCACGACCGCUAGCCUCGGCUGGGUCAAUGGAGUGGUGUCACAAUCUUCCAGAAGGCCUUCCCGAUUCUACCGCGGCGUUAAACCUCACCAUCAGAGUUUUGACCUCAGAUCAGAUAAGGAUACCCGCUGAACUUAA